UACAGAGGUCUCAAGCGUUGUUCGGAUUCAUUGGGCGUAAAGGGUGCGUAGGCGGCGCGGUAAGUCGGAUGUGAAUCUCGGAGCUUAACUCCGAAACUGCAUUCGAUACUGCCGUGCUUGAGGACUGGAGAGGAGACUGGAAUUUACGGUGUAGCGGUGAAAUGCGUAGAUAAUCGUAAGGAAGACCAGUGGCGAAGGCGGGUCUCUGGACAGUCCUGACGCUGAGGCACGAAGGCCAGGGGAGCAAACGGG
rnacentral:rRNA from 1 species